rnacentral:ribozyme from 13 species
UGAGAAUAUCAUUCCACAUGAAACUGAGAAAACAAAAUAGAUGAAGAAAGAAAAGAGAGAAAGAUGUUUGGAUUGAGUUUUGUUGUUUUUGUUUUUGUUUUUCUUCUCCCUUUUUCUUCUUGUGA